CCUACGGGAGGCAGCAGUGGGGAAUAUUGCACAAUGGGGGAAACCCUGAUGCAGCAACGCCGCGUGAGUGAAGAAGUAUUUCGGUAUGUAAAGCUCUAUCAGCAGGGAAGAAGAUGACGGUACCUGAUUAAGAAGCCCCGGCUAACUACGUGCCAGCAGCCGCGGUAAUACGUAGGGGGCAAGCGUUAUCCGGAUUUACUGGGUGUAAAGGGAGCGCAGACGGCAGUGCAAGUCUGGAGUGAAAGCCCGGGGCCCAACCCCGGAACUGCUCUGGAAACUGUGCGGCUAGAGUACUGGAGGGGCAGGCGGAAUUCCUAGUGUAGCGGUGAAAUGCGUAGAUAUUAGGAGGAACACCAGUGGCGAAGGCGGCCUGCUGGACAGUAACUGACGUUGAGGCUCGAAAGCGUGGGGAGCAAACAGGAUUAGAUACC
rnacentral:rRNA from 1 species